GCUCUUUUGUCGUAAAAAGCAGAGUGGUAGGGAAGAGCUUAGACCACUUCCUGAGGAAAUGCAAGAUGAGAACUCCAUUCUGCGUGACCGUUCUGGAAGAAUUUCUUUAUAAGCAGUACCAUUUCUUUUCUGGUCUGCACCUGCAGAAAUUAUUCUCCAGAGACGCGCAUUAUUUUCUGUUGUGGCUUGCAGGCUGCUCCNUGACAUUGGCUUGAUAAAUGGGCAUUUUGUGUCUGACAUCCCUUUCUUUACUCUCUAGGACAAAUCCCACUGGUCUUACCUCCAGGAAAUUGUGCAGCAGUCCCUAGAAGAUGUCCCAGGCCUCCUCCAAGAGGCUAUGGAAGAAGGCCUCCGUGAUAUCCAGUACUGCUUUGAGGUCCUUCUCCACGCAAGCCUGAGGAAGGGUGCAGAUAAGGCCAAGGAGCUCUGUGAGGACAUAACCAGAAGCUGGGGUGCUCCCCUCCAGACUGGUUGACUCCAUUGAAUCCUGCACUAAAGCUCUCCUAGAGAAGCUGAAGUCCUUCUUCAGAGACCUCAAGAAGAAACUGUCNGAACAAAGCAAAAUGGCGGCGGCAAUACAGGCCAUUUGCAGCCAGCAGAUGGAGGCGGCCCGAGCGAGGGUAUUCAACUUCACCCUGGACCUCAUUGCCUUCAGCAGCGAACGGCAGCGCACGAUCUCUCGCCAUCUGACGCCAGAGAUACAGAAGCUCAUGGAACGCGCCUAC
rnacentral:lncRNA from 1 species